AUUGAACGCUGGCGGCAGGCUUAACACAUGCAAGUCGAGCGGGGGGAGGUAGCUUGCUACCGGACCUAGCGGCGGACGGGUGAGUAAUGCUUCGGAAUCUGCCUAUUAGUGGGGGACAACAUCUCGAAAGGGAUGCUAAUACCGCAUACGUCCUACGGGAGAAAGCAGGGGAUCUUCGGACCUUGCUCUAAUAGAUGAGCCUAAGUCGGAUUAGCUAGUUGGUGGGGUAAAGGCCUACCAAGGCGACGAUCUGUAGCGGGUCUGAGAGGAUGAUCCGCCACACUGGGACUGAGACACGGCCCAGACUCCUACGGGAGGCAGCAGUGGGGAAUAUUGGACAAUGGGGGGAACCCUGAUCCAGCCAUGCCGCGUGUGUGAAGAAGGCCUUAUGGUUGUAAAGCACUUUAAGCGAGGAGGAGGCUACUUUAGUUAAUACCUAGAGAUAGUGGACGUUGCUCGCAGAAUAAGCACCGGCUAACUCUGUGCCAGCCGCCGCAGUAA
rnacentral:rRNA from 1 species